GAAAUGCGAUAAGUAAUGUGAAUUGCAGAAUUCAGUGAAUAAUCGAAUUUUUGAACGCACCUUGCGCUCCUUGGUAUUCCUUGGAGCAUGCCUGUUUGAGUAUCAUGAAAUCUUCAAAGUAAAUCUUUUGUUAACUCAAUUGGUUUCUACUUUGGUAUUGGAGGUCUUUGCAGCUUCACACCUGCUCCUCUUUGUUCAUUAGCUGGAUCUCAGUGUUAUGCUUGGUUCCACUCGGCGUGAUAAGUUAUCUAUCGCUGAGGACACUGUAAAAGGUGGCCAAGGUAAAUGCAGAUGAACCGCUUCUAAUAGUCCAUUGACUUGGACAAUACUUUUAUGAUCUGAUCUCAAAUCAGGUAGGACUACCCGCUGAACUUAAGC
rnacentral:misc_RNA from 1 species